AAGACUAUAGACCUGCGGAGUACCUGCGGAAGGAUCAUUAUUGAAUUAUGUUCCUAAAUGGGUUGUAGCUGGCUCGUCAGAGCAUGUGCACGCCUGUUUGGACUUCAUUUUCAUCCACCUGUGCACCUAUUGUAGUCUUUGGUUGGGUAUCAAGGAAGUGGUCAGCCUAUCAGCACUUGCUGGAUGUGAGGACUUGCAGUGUGAAAGCUUUGCUGUCCUUUACUUGAUCAUGGAGUUGUU
rnacentral:misc_RNA from 1 species